AGAAUCAACGCUGGCGGCGUGCCUAACACAUGCAAGUCGCACGAGAAAGGGGCUUCGGCCCUGAGUAAAGUGGCGCACGGGUGAGUAACACGUGAAUUAUCUACCUCCGAGUGGGGAAUAACCUAGAGAAAUCUGGGCUAAUACCGCAUAACACUUACGAGUCAAAGCAGCAAUGCGCUUGGAGAGGAGUUCGCGGCCGAUUAGUUAGUUGGCGGGGUAAUGGCCCACCAAGACGAUGAUCGGUA
rnacentral:rRNA from 1 species